CGGGCUAUAGUACAAUGGAUAGUACAAGCGCCUCCUAAGCGUUAGAUCCUGGUUCGACUCCAGGUAGCCCGACCA
rnacentral:tRNA from 2 species